GACAGAGGAUGCAAGCGUUAUCCGGAAUGAUUGGGCGUAAAGCGUCUGUAGGUGGCUUUUAAGUCCGCCGUCAAAUCCCAGGGCUCAACCCUGGACAGGCGGUGGAAACUACCAAGCUGGAGUACGGUAGGGGCAGAGGGGAUUUCCGGUGGAGCGGUGAAAUGCGUAGAUAGUGCGGAGGAACACCGAUGGCGAAGGCAAUCCCCUGGACCUGUACUGACGCUCAUGCACGAAAGCGUGGGGAGCAAACAGG
rnacentral:rRNA from 1 species